UACGUAGGGUGCAAGCGUUAAUCGGAAUUACUGGGCGUAAAGCGUGCGCAGGCGGUUAUGCAAGACAGAUGUGAAAUCCCCGGGCUCAACCUGGGAACUGCAUUUGUGACUGCAUGGCUAGAGUACGGUAGAGGGGGAUGGAAUUCCGCGUGUAGCAGUGAAAUGCGUAGAUAUGCGGAGGAACACCGAUGCGGAAGGCAAUCCCCUGGACCUGUACUGACGCUCAUGCACGAAAGCGUGGGGAG
rnacentral:rRNA from 1 species